UACGUAGGGGGCAAGCGUUGUCCGGAAUCAUUGGGCGUAAAGCGCGUGUAGGCGGCUCGGUAAGUCUGCUGUGAAAGUCCAGGGCUCAACCCUGGGAUGCCGGUGGAUACUGUCGAGCUCGAGUCCGGAAGAGGCGAGUGGAAUUCCUGGUGUAGCGGUGAAAUGCGCAGAUAUCAGGAGGAACACCGAUGGCGAAGGCAGUGGGCUGGGCCGGCACUGACGCUGAGGAGCGAAAGCGUGGGGAGCGAACAGG
rnacentral:rRNA from 1 species